rnacentral:misc_RNA from 1 species
AACCUAGCACACCUGCGGUGUGUACCUGCGGAGGGAUCAUUACAAGUGACCCCGGUUUACCACCGGGAUGUUCAUAACCCUUUGUUGUCCGACUCUGUUGCCUCCGGGGCGACCCUGCCUUCGGGCGGGGGCUCCGGGUGGACACUUCAAACUCUUGCGUAACUUUGCAGUCUGAGUAAACUUAAUUAAUAAAUUAAAACUUUCAACAAUGGAUCU